UUGCGCAAUGGAGGAAACUCUGACGCAGCGACGCCGCGUGAGCGAGGAAGGUUUUCGGAUCGUAAAGCUCUGUCCUUGGGGAAGAAGGUCUUCGGACUCCACGGUACCCAAGCAGAAAGCCACGGCUAACUGCGUGCCCGCAGCCGCGGUAAUACGUAGGGGGCAAGCGUUGGCCGGAAUUAUUGGGCGUAAAGGGUGCGUAGGCGGCCUUUUAAGUCAGAUGUGAAAGCCCGCGGCUUAACUGCGGGAUUGCAUUUGAAACUGGGAGGCUUGAGUAUCGGAGAGGGUAGUGGAAUUCCCAGUGUAGCGGUGAAAUGCGUAGAUAUUGGGAGGAACACCAGUGGCGAAGGCGACUGCCUGGACGAAAACUGACGCUGAGGCACGAAAGCUAGGGGAGCAAAC
rnacentral:rRNA from 1 species